rnacentral:rRNA from 1 species
GAGCGUGACGGCGCGAGCAGGUGCGAAAGCAGGUCAUAGUGAUCCGGUGGUUCUGAAUGGAAGGGCCAUCGCUCAACGGAUAAAAGGUACUCCGGGGAUAACAGGCUGAUACCGCCCAAGAGUUCAUAUCGACGGCGGUGUUUGGCACCUCGAUGUCGGCUCAUCACAUCCUGGGGCUGAAGUAGGUCCCAAGGGUAUGGCUGUUCGCCAUUUAAAGUGGUACGCGAGCUGGGUUUAGAACGUCGUGAGACAGUUCGGUCCCUAUCUGCCGUGGGCGCUGGAGAACUGAGGGGGGCUGCUCCUAGUACGAGAGGACCGGAGUGGACGCAUCACUGGUGUUCGGGUUGUCAUGCCAAUGGCACUGCCCGGUAGCUAAAUGCGGAAGAGAUAAGUGCUGAAAGCAUCUAAGCACGAAACUUGCCCCGA